GGGCAGUUGGGUGAGUAGCAAAACCAGCACGCUGUAAACGUGCCGACCGUUGGUCUUCGGGGGUGCAAGUCCCUCACUGCCCA
rnacentral:tRNA from 1 species